GACGAACGCUGGCGGCGUGCUUAACACAUGCAAGUCGAACGGAAAGGCUCCAGCUUGCUGGAGUACUCGAGUGGCGAACGGGUGAGUAACACGUGGGUAAUCUGCCCUGCACUCUGGGAUAAGCCUGGGAAACUGGGUCGAAUACUGGAUAUGACCUUUCUCCUUAUGGGGUUUGGUGGAAAGUUUUUCGGUGUAGGAUGAGCCCGCGGCCUAUCAGCUUGUUGGUGGGGUGAUGGCCUACCAAGGCGACGACGGGUAGCCGGCCCGAGAGGGUGAUCGGCCACAUUGGGACUGCGAUACGGACCAGACUCCUACGGGAGGCAGCAGUGGGGAAUAUUGCACAAUGGGCGGAAGCCUGAUGCAGCGACGCCGCGUGAGGGAUGACGGCCUUCGGGUUGUAAACCUCUUUCAGCAGGGACGAAGCGUAAGUGACGGUACCUGCAGAAGAAGCACCGGCUAACUAUGUG
rnacentral:rRNA from 1 species